rnacentral:rRNA from 1 species
AGUGAACGCUGGCGGUAGGCCUAACACAUGCAAGUCGAACGGCAGCACAGUAAGAGCUUGCCCUUACGGGUGGCGAGUGGCGGACGGGUGAGGAAUACAUCGGAAUCUACUUUUUCGUGGGGGAUAACGUAGGGAAACUUACGCUAAUACCGCAUACGACCUACGGGUGAAAGCAGGGGUUCUUCGGACCUUGCGCGUUUGAAUGAGCCGAUGUCGGAUUAGCUAGUUGGCGGGGUAAAGGCCCACCAAGGCGACGAUCCGUAGCUGGUCUGAGAGGAUGAUCAGCCACACUGGAACUGAGACACGGUCCAGACUCCUACGGGAGGCAGCAGUGGGGAAUAUUCGACAAUGGGCGCAAGCCUGAUCCAGCCAUACCGCGUGAGUGAAGAAGGCCUUCGGAUUGUAAAGCCCUUUUGUUGGGAAAGAAAAGCAGCAGGUUAAUACCCCGCUGUUCUGACGGUACCCAAAGAAUAAGCACCGGCUAACUUCGUG